AUGAUGAUGAUCUUGAGUGCUUCACAUAAUCCAUCGCAAGUCAGGUCCCCCACAUCCGACCAAUCGGAGGAGCGAGGCCGGCGAGGAAGGAAGGGCAAUGCAGUGUUCUCGGCUUGCCGCAUCAAGGAGGCGCCGGGCCACUUCUGCGAUGCCAUCGUGCUUGCCUAUGCCUCGCUCCACUGGUACAAGGUGCUCGCAACGAAGACCGUCUCGCUCAAGCUCGACUGGGCCAAUGGCUACUACCACCUCGAAAGCAAUCGAAGGAGAAGCAGGGGUUUGACCUUGAGGCUGGUCGAUGAUACAUGCCGCCACAUGUUGGCGAAUGGGCCAAUGGCAGCACCGACCGCAAAGGGGGGGGGCCAUGGGGAUGGCGCCUCCUUCUCUCCAGCCUCCAUAGCAGCGGCGCCUGCAGUCCUGCACUAA
rnacentral:rRNA from 1 species